AUCUACUCUAAGUAAUUAAAAGCUAGAUGAUUAUAAUAUUUUCCUAUUUUCAAAAGGUGUUUGUCAUCAAUGAUGAAGAUUAGCUUUCUGAGUAUUCAAUCAUUUUUAGUACUUUGCUAAAACUACAUUCCAACAUGGAGCAAAACACGAUGCUGAAUUAACUGAAUGCAAGUGGAUAAGAAACACCAUAAUUGCAGUCUACAAUUUUCGGAGACAACGACGAGAGGGUUUGGAAAAUGUGGAUGAGAAGCGUGGAAAGAAUGUUCUGGAGCUGGAUAAAAAAAAGGUGGUCAAGAGAAUGGAAAAUUUGGGUUGAUUGAAGCUCAGACAAGUUCUGAUUUGAUUAAUAAAUUUUAGCUUAGAAAUAAAAUUAAAUUUUAUUCAAUAUGUUUGAUAACAUUCUUUGUUACAUUUCAUAGAAAAUAUUUUCUAAAAUUAAGUUAUAGAUAGACUGUAGGUCACGUACUAUAAAUCAUUAGUGUUGCUAAAGGGCAAAGUUACCCUAUAAUGAAUCAAAUAUCUACUUUUAUAUUUUUUCCCACAAAAACAUAGAUGAGUCAAAUGAUAUUACCAAUAAUAUUGAUUUGAAAAUAUGUUUUCAUAAAUAAUACUUGU